UACGGAGGGUGCAAACGUUGCUCGGAAUCAUUGGGCGUAAAGCGCACGUAGGCGGUUUGGUAAGUCGGGUGUGAAAUCCCUCGGCUUAACCGAGGAAGUGCAUUCGAAACUACCAAGCUUGAAUACUCAAGAGGGUCUCGGAAUUCCCGGUGUAGAGGUGAAAUUCGUAGAUAUCGGGAGGAACACCAGUGGCGAAGGCGGAGACCUGGGGAGAUAUUGACGCUGAGGUGCGAAAGCGUGGGGAGCAAACAGG
rnacentral:rRNA from 1 species